AUUGAACGCUGGCGGCAUGCCUUACACAUGCAAGUCGAACGGCAGCACGGGAGCAAUCCUGGUGGCGAGUGGCGAACGGGUGAGUAAAGUAUCGGAACGUGCCCAGUCGUGGGGGAUAUCGUAGCGAAAGUUACGCUAAUACCGCAUACGAUCUAUGGAUGAAAGCGGGGGAUCGCAAGACCCUGCGCGAUUGGAGCGGCCGAUAUCAGAUUAGGUAGUUGGUGGGGUAAAGGCUCACCAAGCCGACGAUCUGUAGCUGGUCUGAGAGGACGACCAGCCACACUGGGACUGAGACACGGCCCAGACUCCUACGGGAGGCAGCAGUGGGGAAUUUUGGACAAUGGGCGAAAGCCUGAUCCAGCCAUGCCGCGUGCAGGAUGAAGGCCUUCGGGUUGUAAACUGCUUUUGUACGGAACGAAAAGGUUUGGCCUAAUAAGCUGAGCUCAUGACGGUACCGUAAGAAUAAGCACCGGCUAACUACGUGCCAGCCGCCGCGGUAA
rnacentral:rRNA from 1 species